UAAAAUAUUUAGACGUCAUCCUAAAGUCUUAAUGAUGACAAAACAUCACACGUAAUGUACGUAAUGGCCAUUACUCAUUCGCACGGUUACAUCACUCGCUUCGCUCGUAUCAUCGCAUCAAAAGUUUGAAUAAAAAUCCUUAAGUUGGAACUCUCAAGAACCGGUUUAGGGUAGGAAUAAAAAGGGCAAUCGAGGAUUGACAAAAGACAAAAACGCCUCUCCAGACUUGGACUAUUGGGCUUUAAAAGACAGUUGAGGAGAAAAAAAGUUUUCCUGAACUAAACCACUUGUGAAGUUCGUCAACCCCGCAAGUUUUCCAUCUAAUUUACCCCGUUCGUUUCGUUUCGAUUCCCGGAAGUGGGAAAAAAUCCGCCACCCUGUAUAACACUCUUUGCGAUACGAUCUCUAGCGAUAAGCUCUGCCGCAACAUUCAGAUCUGAAAUUCUCGUCUUUAUUACGUUCGACUGAGGCCGAAUGCUCGAUUUAGUCACGUGGCAUCAAUUUAAUGCGGACUGAAGGAUUAUAUCGAUUGGCCACUUGAAAAAGAUGAAUAUAUACAUAGAGUGAUCCUUGAUACGAAUCGAGACGAGUUUUUCGCUCAUUUAGAACACUCGAUUGUCGGAAAGUGCAUCGAAAGCAAAACACAUGCAUCAAACUCACCUGGAAGAUGAUCCAUCGUCGAAGAAGUGUCGGAACGAAGUCAGCUGAGAGCCGUGGCCUAGUUGGCAUUGCAGGAACAAAUCGGUGAGAGUAGGACAUGCUUUGAAGGCAAGAGCAUGCGCCCUUUGCGAAAUGCAACAGGCGAUCAAUAUGGGGGUUGAAGAGAAAAGAAACCCCCGUAUACAGGCUGGCCCGCGACGCCAAAAAGCCAAAUUACUAAUCGCUCCAUCAAAAAACAAUACCGACAAACA